AUAGAUUAAGAAAGUUGAAUCCCAAGUUGCCUUUGGUCACACUACAAAGUUGACUAAAUCCAGUACUCUUUCCAUGGGCACAUGAUGUAUGAUUUUGUCUGAUCUGUUGCCCAGACUGUGAGGUCCCUGAGGUUAGGGUUAUAGGUUUUGAUCCUCUGUUUGUUUAUCUAGCACUGGAACUCAGGAACAAUAGGUAUUAGUCAGUGCUUGAUGAAUGUCAUCAAAGAGAGCUGAAGGCAGCAGAAAUUUAUACCAACAUGAGCCAGUCACAAACUUGUUUUGGGGGCUUGGGUUGGGAUUGGUCCUGGUGGUAAAAAGGAGUGCGAAUUGGAGAAGGCCUUGGCAUGUAAGACAGGAAGAAAGCCCAGGUCCCUCAUCCCUACCCAGAUGCCUCAACCUGGCUCCCUUAACUCAACCUUACUCAGCCCCAGCUCAGCAUAGGACGCUGGACUUGCAGCACCUGGCUGCCAUGGAGACAGCGCCUCAGAGACGGAAUUCUGCAUCUCAGCCCUGCAGGGGCUGCCUCUGCCGAUGAACCACUUAAAUCAAUUCAUCAACAAGUGUUCACUGAGUCUUUGCUAUCGACCCAACCUGGCCACAGCAUAGAAGAAAGAGGGGGAAGAGGAAAAGACUUGAGUUCUAAUGCUGACUCUAUUAGUGUCUUAAUUUGUAAUCCUGAGCAAAUCUCUUCUUCCUUAUAAAAUAAAGGGAGCACUUUCAGACUUUGACCUUGGAUUCAAACAGGAGGAGGAGUGUUUCCUCCCCAGAUGCCAAGGGGGAGAAGAUUCAUUGGAAGUGAUCAGAGAACAGGAUUAGAGAUAUUCACUUGAGUGAUGUACCAUGUAAAAAUUGUGAGGACUUCAAGGACUGAUAGAGAUCUCUGUAGGCUGGGGUUGGGAGAAGAGGUCAGAGAAGGUUUGCUGGAGGAGACGGGAUUUGAACUGGGCCUUGGAGGAGGAUGAUGAGGGACAGGCUGGGGGAGGGGGAGAAGCCUACAUAUAGGCAAGAUGGAG
rnacentral:lncRNA from 1 species